rnacentral:rRNA from 1 species
GAUGAACGCUGGCGGCGUGCCUAAUACAUGCAAGUCGAGCGAACGGACGAGAAGCUUGCUUCUCUGAUGUUAGCGGCGGACGGGUGAGUAACACGUGGAUAACCUACCUAUAAGACUGGGAUAACUUCGGGAAACCGGAGCUAAUACCGGAUAAUAUUUUGAACCGCAUGGUUCAAAAGUGAAAGACGGUCUUGCUGUCACUUAUAGAUGGAUCCGCGCUGCAUUAGCUAGUUGGUAAGGUAACGGCUUACCAAGGCAACGAUGCAUAGCCGACCUGAGAGGGUGCCCGCCCACCUGGGACCUGACCCCCGGUCCAGCCCCCUACGGGAGGCAGCAGUAGGGAAUCUUCCGCAAGGGGGGAAAGCCUGACGGAGCACCCCCGGGUGAGUGAGGAGGGUCUUGGGAUCGAAAAACUCUUUUAUGGGGGAAAAACAUAUGUGUAAGAAACUGGCCACAUCUUGAGGUUACUUAAUAAGAAAGCCACGGCUAACUCCGUG